rnacentral:lncRNA from 1 species
GCGGAGAGUCCCCUCCCCUUUCUCAGAUCCCUCUUGGCACCCCCACACUUGCCUAGUCUUCUCUGCAAAUAGAUGUGGCUACACACGAGAACUUUUGCCCUAGAACUACAGGACUCUACAGGAGAUAAAAGGCAUGGACUGCGUCUGCAUUAUCUCUGCACCACUUUCUUGUUCCCUGGAAUGUCAAAGCACUUCUCUCUUCCUGUGUUGGCACAGCCAGGGCACCCAAUGUCCCCUGCAAGCUGCUCAUGAGCACCUGCCUCCCAUGUUGACAAGAUGUACCCAGUCCUGCACAAUAACUGGUACAGGGAAUUCAAAGCUAAGCAAGCCUCUGCUGGUGCCGCAUGCUCAGACGUUCCUUCUCAGAACCGUGGACAUUUGUGCUU